GGAUGAUGAAGAUGAUGUGAUUGUUGACAAUUUGAUUCAUUUAGAUUUGAUGUCAAAGGGUAUUUUUAGCAAACAUCAUAAGAAUAGAACUGCCAUACAAUAUAAAUGUGAAAGAUCCAGAAAACCUGCUGGGAAGAAAAAGGAACCAAAGCAAACACGAGCAAAUGACUGUCACGCUUAUGUUUUAUUCCAAUUUGUAUCUCACAAGAGUAAAAAAGCUGUGAUUAUACGGAAGCAACUUCAGCACAACGGACAUGACAUAAACAAUGACCAUGAAAAACACUUUAACCGUCCAGAUCCAAGCUUGAUUGCGUAUAUUGAAU